rnacentral:rRNA from 1 species
GAUGAACGCUGGCGGCGUGCCUAAUACAUGCAAGUCGAGCGAACAGACGAGGAGCUUGCUCCUCUGACGUUAGCGGCGGACGGGUGAGUAACACGUGGAUGACCUACCUAUAAGACUGGGAUAACUUCGGGAAACCGGAGCUAAUACCGGAUAAUAUAUUGAACCGCAUGGUUCAAUAGUGAAAGACGGUUUUGCUGUCACUUAUAGAUGGAUCCGCGCCGCAUUAGCUAGUUGGUAAGGUAACGGCUUACCAAGGCAACGAUGCGUAGCCGACCUGAGAGGGUGAUCGGCCACACUGGAACUGAGACUCGGUCCAGACUCCUACGGGAGGCAGCAGUAGGGAAUCUUCCGCAAUGGGCGAAAGCUUGACGGAGCAACGCCGCGUGAGUGAUGAAGGUCUUCGGAUCGUAAAACUCUGUUAUUAGGGAAGAACAAAUGUGUAAGUAACUAUGCACGUCUUGACGGUACCUAAUCAGAAAGCCACGGCUAACUACGUG